CGUAAGGCGCCGAAUGAGUCAUUAAAAAAUUAACAUCAUCCGAUCCCUAGUCGGCAUAGUUUAUGGUUAAGACUACGACGGUAUCUGAUCGUCUUCGAUCCCCUAACUUUCGUUCUUGAUUAAUGAAAACAUCCUUGGCAAAUGCUUUCGCAGUAGUUAGUCUUCAAUAAAUCCAAGAAUUUCACCUCUGACAAUUGAAUACUAAUGCCCCCAACUAUCCCUAUUAAUCAUUACGUCAAUCCUAGAAACCAACAAAAUAGGGUCAAACGUCCUAUUUCAUUAUUCCAUGCUAAUGUAUUCAAGCGUUAGCCUGCUUUAAACACUCUAAUUUUUCAAAGUAACAGUCCUGUUUCCCUGCAACACCAAAUUAAUGGCAUCACAGUUCUUCAAGAAGGAGGAGUCAGUAAAGCCAGUGCAUACCAGUGGCACGACCAACUUACUGACCCCGAAAUUCAACUACGAGUCUUUUAACUGCAACAACUUUAAUAUACGCUAUUGGAGCUGGAAUUACCGCGGCUGC
rnacentral:rRNA from 1 species